GAUGAAGAACGUAGUGAAAUGCGAUAAGUAAUGUGAAUUGCAGAAUUCAGUGAAUCAUCGAAUCUUUGAACGCACCUUGCGCCCUUUGGCCAUUCCGAAGGGCAUGCCUGUUUGAGUAUCAUGAACACCUCAACUCUUCAUGGUUUUCCAUGAUGAGCUUGGACUUUGGGGGUCUUGCUGGCCUGUGGGUCGGCUCCUCUCGAAUGAAUCAGCUUGCCGGUUUUUGGUGGGCAUCACAGGUGUGAUAACUAUCUACGCUUGUGGUUUUCCACCAGGGUAACCUUCAGCAGUGGAGGUUCACUGGAGCUUACAAAUGUCUCUCCUCUGUGAGGACAGCCCUUUGAAUGUUUGAUCUCAAAUCAGGUAGGACUACCCGCUGAACUUAAGCAUAUCAAUAAGCGGAGGA
rnacentral:misc_RNA from 1 species